rfam:Danio rerio chromosome 5, GRCz11 reference primary assembly.
AGCCACAGCCAUAUCACCCUGCAGCCCAAGACCGGUUACUCACUGAAGCUAGGCAGGCCUGAGCCUGGUCAGUACCUGGAUGGGAGACCACUAGGGAACACUAGGUGGCUGUUGCAA